GACAGCUUGGCCAAGUGGUUAAGGUGACAGAUUACUACCCUGUUGGGGCAACCCGCGUGAGUUCGAAUCUCACAGCCGUCG